AGCUCCACUAGCGUAUGUUAAAAUUGUUGCGGUUAAAACGUUCGAAGUUCAUUUUUGUUCAGCACGAGUGUAGCGCCAUCAAGUAAAUGGCUGCUAUCACUUUCGAUUGCUUGAACUACAUGACUGAACAGUUAAUGAAUAGCACCGAUGCCUUUAACUAGGAUAAGUGUCUAUUUAGUUCGGCUUAAUUUUACCUUGAACAAAUUAAGGUGCUCAAAGCAGGCUCUAAUGCCUUGAAUAUUUUUGCAUGGAAUAAUGGAAAAAGACCUCGGUCUUAUAGGUGUCAAUUUUCGGAUUGGCAUCGCUUUCUAUUGGUUUGAUACAGAUCAAGAGGUAAUGAUUAAUAGAAGCAGUCGGGGGCAUUAGUAUUGCGGCGCGAGAGGUGAAAUUCUUAGACCGUCGCAAGACUAACUAAAGCGAAAGCAUUUGCCAAGGAUGUUUUCA
rnacentral:rRNA from 1 species